UACGUAGGCAGCAAGCGUUGUUCGGAAUUACUGGGCGUAAAGAGUGUGUAGGCGGUUCUCUAAGUCUGUUGUGAAAUCUCCCGGCUUAACUGGGAGGGUGCAGCGGAAACUGGAAUGCUCGAGUAUGGGAGAGGUAAGCGGAAUUCCUGGUGUAGCGGUGAAAUGCGUAGAUAUCAGGAGGAACACCUGUGGUGUAGACAGCUUACUGGACCAUCACUGACGCUGAGACACGAAAGCGUGGGUAGCAAACAGG
rnacentral:rRNA from 1 species